rnacentral:rRNA from 1 species
UACAGAGGUCCCAAGCGUUGUUCGGAUUCACUGGGCGUAAAGGGUGCGUAGGCGGUCGGGUAAGUCUGGUGUGAAAUCUCACAGCUUAACUGUGAAACUGCAUUGGAUACUAUCCGGCUCGAGGAAUGGAGGGGAGACUGGAAUACAUGGUGUAGCAGUGAAAUGCGUAGAUAUCAAGUGGAACACCAGUGGCGAAGGCGAGUCUCUGGACAUUUCCUGACGCUGAGGCACGAAAGCCAGGGGAGCAAACGGG